rnacentral:lncRNA from 1 species
CGAUAAACCUAAGGACCUAAUUUAGCUUGAUAGUUUGAGCUUGAUUCGUUUGAGCUAACUUGUUUGGACCAAUUGACCUACUGGUGUCUAAGGUAAGUAAUUGAGAUGUGGUUAUUUAAUUGGUUCCGUUCGCUUAUCUAACUAAUUUAUUAAUAUCUAAGAAAAGCAAUGGGGGGACCUCCACCGAUCUCCACUUACUUGGCCA